AGAGUUUGAUCCUGGCUCAGGAUGAACGCUGGCGGCGUGCUUAACACAUGCAAGUCGAACGGGAAACCUUUUAUUGAAGCUUCGGCAGAUUUAGAUUGUUUCUAGUGGCGGACGGGUGAGUAACGCGUGGGUAACCUGCCUUAUACAGGGGGAUAACAACCAGAAAUGGUUGCUAAUACCGCAUAAGCGCACAGGGCCGCAUGGUCCGGUGUGAAAAACUCCGGUGGUAUAAGAUGGACCCGCGUUGGAUUAGCUUGUUGGUGAGGUAACGGCUCACCAAGGCGACGAUCCAUAGCCGGCCUGAGAGGGUGAACGGCCACAUUGGGACUGAGACACGGCCCAAACUCCUACGGGAGGCAGCAGUGAGGAAUAUUGGUCAAUGGGCGAGAGCCUGAACCAGCCAAGUAGCGUGCAGGAUGACGGCCCUAUGGGUUGUAAACUGCUUUUAUAAGGGAAUAAAGUGAGUCUCGUGAGACUUUUUGCAUGUACCUUAUGAAUAAGGACCGGCUAAUUCCGUGCCAGCAGCCGCGGUAAUACGGAAGGUCCGGGCGUUAUCCGGAUUUAUUGGGUUUAAAGGGAGCGUAGGCCGGAGAUUAAGCGUGUUGUGAAAUGUAGUGGCUCAACCUCUGCACUGCAGCGCGAACUGGUCUUCUUGAGUACGCACAACGUGGGCGGAAUUCGUGGUGUAGCGGUGAAAUGCUUAGAUAUCACGAAGAACUCCGAUUGCGAAGGCAGCUCACGGGAGCGCAACUGACGCUGAAGCUCGAAAGUGCGGGUAUCGAACAGGAUUAGAUACCCUGGUAGUCCGCACGGUAAACGAUGGAUGCCCGCUGUUGGCCUGAAUAGGUCAGCGGCCAAGCGAAAGCAUUAAGCAUCCCACCUGGGGAGUACGCCGGCAACGGUGAAACUCAAAGGAAUUGACGGGGGCCCGCACAAGCGGUGGAUUAUGUGGUUUAAUUCGAAGCAACGCGAAGAACCUUACCAGAGUUUGACAUCCUGCUAACGAAGUAGAGAUACAUCAGGUGCCCUUCGGGGAAAGCAGAGACAGGUGGUGCAUGGUUGUCGUCAGCUCGUGUCGUGAGAUGUUGGGUUAAGUCCCGCAACGAGCGCAACCCCUAUUUUCAGUAGCCAGCAUUUUGGAUGGGCACUCUGGAGAGACUGCCCGGGAUAACCGGGAGGAAGGUGGGGAUGACGUCAAAUCAUCAUGCCCCUUAUGAUCUGGGCUACACACGUGCUACAAUGGCUGUUACAGAGAGAAGCGAAUCCGCGAGGAAGAGCAAACCUCAAAAAGGCAGUCUCAGUUCGGAUUGUAGUCUGCAACUCGACUACAUGAAGCUGGAAUCGCUAGUAAUCGCGAAUCAGAAUGUCGCGGUGAAUACGUUCCCGGGUCUUGCACUAACGGCCCGUCAAG
rnacentral:rRNA from 1 species